rnacentral:rRNA from 1 species
UACGUAGGGACCGAGCGUUAUCCGGAUUCAUUGGGCGUAAAGAGCUCGUAGGCGGCUAUUCAAGUCGAACGUGAAAUCUCGGAGCUCAACUCCGAGCCUGCGUUCGAUACUGGGUAGCUAGAGUCUGGUAGGGGGAUCUGGAAUUCCUGGUGUAGCGGUGGAAUGCGCAGAUAUCAGGAGGAACACCGGUGGCGAAGGCGGGUCUCUGGGCAGUAACUGACGCUGAGGAGCGAAAGCGUGGGGAGCGAACAGG